AGCCCCAUAGUACAGAGGCCAAGUAUGAUCGGCUUUGGACCGAUUGACCGAGGUUCGAAUCCUCGUGGGGCUACCA
rnacentral:tRNA from 1 species